GGCUAGUCAGGUGCAGCAGUGUUUACACCUAAUUGGUCACAAUAUCAGGGUUUCUUCCUUCCUUCUUCAGUCUUUCUGCUCCACGUGACCAGCCACUUAA
rnacentral:sRNA from 1 species